UACGGGGGGAGCAAGCGUUGUUCGGAUUUACUGGGCGUAAAGGGCGCGUAGGCGGCCACCGCAAGUCGACUGUGAAAUCUCCGGGCUUAACCCGGAAAGGUCAGCCGAUACUGCGGGGCUAGAGUGCAGAAGGGGCAACUGGAAUUCCUGGUGUAGCGGUGGAAUGCGCAGAUAUCAGGAGGAACACCAAUAGCGAAGGCAGCUCGCUGGGACGGUACUGACGCUAAGGCGCGAAAGCGUGGGGAGCGAACAGG
rnacentral:rRNA from 1 species